UGCAGUCGACGAUGAUCCCNGCUUGCUGGGGGAUUAGUGGCGAACGGGUGAGUAACACGUGAGUAACCUGCCCUUGACUCUGGGAUAAGCCUGGGAAACCGGGUCUAAUACUGGAUAUGACCUUCUGGCGCAUGCCAUGUUGGUGGAAAGCUUUAUUGCGGUUUUGGAUGGACUCGCGGCCUAUCAGCUUGUUGGUGGGGUAAUGGCCUACCAAGGCGACGACGGGUAGCCGGCCUGAGAGGGUGGACGGCCACACUGGGACUGAGACACGGCCCAGACUCCUACGGGAGGCAGCAGUGGGGAAUAUUGCACAAUGGGCGCAAGCCUGAUGCAGCGACGCCGCGUGGGGGAUGAAGGCCUUCGGGUUGUAAACCUCUUUCAGUAGGGAAGAAGCGAAAGUGACGGUACCUGCAGAAGAAGCGCCGGCUAACUACGUGCCAGCAGCCGCGGUAAUACGUAGGGCGCAAGCGUUAUCCGGAAUUAUUGGGCGUAAAGAGCUCGUAGGCGGUUUGUCGCGUCUGCCGUGAAAGUCCGGGGCUUAACCCCGGAUCUGCGGUGGGUACGGGCAGACUAGAGUGAUGUAGGGGAGACUGGAAUUCCUGGUGUAGCGGUGAAAUGCGCAGAUAUCA
rnacentral:rRNA from 1 species